GAACACAAGGGAUAUAAAAUGAAAGAUUUUUACUAAUAUAUAUUUUAAGGUUGCACACAGUACACACCGGAAGAUGUGAAAUUCAUUUGUGGUAAUUAAGUGGUCCCAAUGCUCAGUGCUUAAAAAAACAAAUUGGACAGUUACUUCUGGGAAAAACAACAUCAUUCCAAAAAGAACAAUAAUGAGAGCAAAUACAAAAAUAACCAAGUCCUCCGAAGGCAUCUCACGGAACCGUAGACUAGGAAGUACAAGCCCCACACACCAGGAAGUCCAUGUGACUGCAUCAUACAUUUAACAAUGACAAGAUGUUCCGGCAUUUAUUUUCUGCGUUGGGUUUUCCCUUGCCUUGUGGGCUGAAGUGUUCUCUAGAAUCCAGCAGGUCACACCGGGGGCUUCAGGUGACAAUUUAGCUCUGGCUCCCUGCUCCUGUCCUCCCCCGCACCCCCUCCCUUCUGGGAAACAAGAAGAGUAAACAGGAAACCUACUUUUUAUGUGCUAUGCAAAAUAGACAUCUUUAACAUAGUCCUGUUACUAUGGUAACACUUUGCUUUCUGAAUUGGAAGGGAAAAAAAUGUAGCGACAGCAUUUGAAGGUUCUCAGACCUCCAGUGAGUACCUGCAAAAAUGAGUUGUCACGGAAAUUAUGAUCCCCUAUUUCCUGAACCUGGAAAUGAUGUUGGUCCAAAGUGCGUGUGUGUAUGUGUGAGUGGGUGUGUGGUAUACAUGUGUACAUAUAUGUAUAAUAUAUAUCUACAAUAUAUAUUAUAUAUAUCUAUAUCAUAUUUCUGUGGAAGGUUGCCGUGGUAACCAGCCACAGUACAUAUGUAAUUCUUUCCAUCACCCCAACCUCUCCUUUCUGUGCAUUUGUACAAGAGUUUCUUGUAAGCCAUCAGAAGUUACUUUUAGGAUGGGGGAGAGGGGCAAGAAGGGGAAAAAUGGGAAAUAGUCUGAUUUUAAUGAAAUCAAAUGUAUGUAUCAUCAGUUGGCUACGUUUUGGUUCUAUACUAAACUGUGAAAAAUCAGAUGAAUUGAUAAAAGAGUUCCCUGCAACCAAUUGAAAAGUGUUCUGUGCGUCUGUUUUGUGUCUGGUGCAGAAUAUGACAAUCUACCAACUGUCCCUUUAUUUGAAGUUGGUUUAGCUUUGGAAAGUUACUGUAAAUGCCUUGCUUGUAUGAUCGUCCCUGUCACCCGACUUUGGAAUUUGCACCAUCAUGUUUAAGUGAAGAUGCUGUAAAUAGGUUCAGAUUUUACUGUCUAUGGAUUUGGGGUGUUACAGUAGCCUUAUUCACCUUUUUAAUAAAAAUACACAUGAAAACAAGACAGAAAUGGCUUUUCUUACCCAGAUUGUGUACAUAGAGCAAUGUUGGUUUUUUAUAAAGUCUAAGCAAGAUGUUUUGUAUAAAAUCUGAAUUUUGCAAUGUAUUUAGCUACAGCUUGUUUAACGGCAGUGUCAUUCCCCUUUGCACUGUAAUGAGGAAAAAAUGGUAUAAAAGGUUGCCAAAUUGCUGCAUAUUUGUGCCGUAAUUAUGUACCAUGAAUAUUUAUUUAAAAUUUCGUUGUCCAGUUUGUAAGUAACACAGUAUUAUGCUUGAGUUAUAAAUAUUUUUUUCUUUCUUUGUUUUAUUUUAAUAGCCUGUCAUAGGUUUUAAAUCUGCUUUAGUUUCACAUUGCAGUUAGCCCCCGAAAAUGAAAUCCGUGAAGUCACAUUCCACAUCUGUUUCAAACUGAAUUUGUUCUUAAAAAAAUAAAAUAUUUUUUU
rnacentral:lncRNA from 1 species